GAUGAACGCUGAUAGCAUGCUUAACACAUCAGCGAUUGAUUGUUGGCGGACGGGUGCGUAACGCGUAUAGAACUUGCAUCACCGCUAGGGACAAGAUUUAGAAAUGAAUGCUAAUCCCUGAUACUGUGAGAGAGCUUUGCGGACAAUUAGCACGUUGGAGAGGUAAAAGCUCACCAAGGCGAUGAUGGGUAGCCGGCCUGAGAGGGUGAACGGCCACAAGGGGAAAGAGACAGAGCCCGUAGUCCAACGGGAAGAAGCAGUGGGGAAUAGUGGACAAUGUACCGAAGUAUGAUGCAGGAAUUCGGGGUGCACAGUGAAGUUUUCGGAAGGUAAAGUGCUUUCAGUAGGCAAGCGUUACCAACAGAAGAAGUGCCGGCUAAAUACGUGCCAGCAGCCGCGGUAAUAC
rnacentral:rRNA from 1 species